CACGUAGGGUGCGAGCGUUGUCCGGAAUUAUUGGGCGUAAAGAGCUCGUAGGCGGUGUGUCGCGUCGGCCGUGAAAACCUGCAGCUUAACUGUGGGCUUGCGGUCGAUACGGGCAUCACUGGAGUUCGGCAGGGGAGACUGGAAUUCCUGGUGUAGCGGUGAAAUGCGUAGAUAUCAGGAAGAACACCCGUGGCUAAGGCGGCUCUCUAGUACGGUACCGACGCUGAGACGCGAAAGCGUGGGGAGCAAACAGG
rnacentral:rRNA from 1 species